rnacentral:rRNA from 1 species
ACCCUUGACAUGUCUGGAAUCCCGAAGAGAUUUGGGAGUGCUCGCAAGAGAACCGGAACACAGGUGCUGCAUGGCUGUCGUCAGCUCGUGUCGUGAGAUGUUGGGUUAAGUCCCGCAACGAGCGCAACCCUUGUCAUUAGUUGCUACGAAAGGGCACUCUAAUGAGACUGCCGGUGACAAACCGGAGGAAGGUGGGGAUGACGUCAAGUCCUCAUGGCCCUUAUGGGUAGGGCUUCACACGUCAUACAAUGGUCGGGACAGAGGGUUGCCAACCCGCGAGGGGGAGCCAAUCUCAGAAACCCGAUCGUAGUCCGGAUUGCAGGCUGCAACUCGCCUGCAUGAAGUCGGAAUCGCUAGUAAUCGCGGAUCAGCAUGUCGCGGUGAAUACGUUCCCGGGUCUUGUACACACCGCCCGUCACACCAUGGGAGUGGGUUUCACCAGAAGUAGGUAGCCUAACCGCAAGGGGGGGCGCUUACCACGGUGGGAUUCAUGACUGGGGUGAAGUCGUAACAAGGUAGGCGUAGUGCU